rnacentral:rRNA from 1 species
UACGUAGGGUGCUAGCGUUGUUCGGAAUCAUUGGGCGUAAAGCGAGUGCAGGCCGUUAAUUAAGUCGGGUGUGAAAUCCCUGGGCUCAACCGAGGAAGUGCAUCCGAAACUAAUUAGCUAGAGAAUGGUAGAGGAAGGUGGAAUUCCAAGUGUAGAGGUGAAAUUCGUAGAUAUUUGGAGGAAUACCGGAGGCGAAGGCGGCCUUCUGGACCAUUUCUGACGCUGAGACUCGAAAGCGUGGGGAGCAAACAGG